CUUCCCAUUUGACUACCACAUUUUCUACUACUAAUAGAUUUUUAGUGGCUAUGCUUAUGGGAUAGAGUAAAACUGCCAUGAUCUGAAGAGGGAGGAUUUCUUUGUGUCCUUCUCCUAUAUGAAAUGGCUAAACAGAAAAAG